rnacentral:lncRNA from 1 species
UGUAUAUAUUAAUGGCUUCCCUUUACUAUCAUUUGUAUAUUAUAUGUUUUCAUUUGUUUUUAUGAUUAGUUUGGGUUUUCAAUAUUUUUAUUGAAAUGGAGUCCAAAGUCUUCACCAUAGAUAUGGUGAUGGCUCCGAUGACUAUUGGCUAACCAGAGACAUCGCAGUGAAGCUUUGUUACGUACUUUAACCCUUAUUUUUUUUUCCUUAUUAUUAUUAUUUUUUUUUUGGCAAUAAAUCAGCGUUUUAAACCCAUAAAACUCAUAUCUAGUUCACCAGUUCUGGUUGAACCCGACGGUAUACCGAAUUUGAAUCAGUUUCUUUUCAUCCAAUUUUUACUGCAUGAUAGAACCGAAUUUUGACCGGAUUCCGGAUUUUUC